rnacentral:misc_RNA from 1 species
AGGUUUUCCCUCUAAAACGCUCCGUUUCGAUUUCAAAGUUUCCGAUCUCGUCUGAUUUUUGUUAAAAAUGGACGCUCCAAAGGAGAAGAAAGGUGCAGGAGGAAGAAGAGGAGGGGACAGGAAGAAGGCUGUUUCCAAGUCGACUAGGGCAGGCCUUCAAUUCCCAGUGGGUCGGAUUGCUCGUUUUCUCAAAAAGGGCCGGUAUGCUCAGAGAUAUGGUUCAGGAGCCCCGAUCUAUCUCNUCUUGAGUAUCUAGCCGCUGAGGUGCUGGAACUGGCUGGUAAUGCAGCACGUGAUAACAAGAAGAACAGAAUAAACCCUAGGCACGUACUAUUAGCUGUGAGGAACGAUGAGGAGUUGGGGAAAUUGCUUCAAGGUGUGACCAUUGCUAGUGGAGGGGUGCUACCAAACAUCAACCCAGUUCUUUUGCCCAAGAAAUCUGCAGCUACCGAUAAAUCUUCUGAGCCCAAAUCCCCUAAGUCCUCCAAAAGCGCCUAAAGAUGAAUCCCACUAAUUAUGUUUUAAUUCCAAUAAUGGAAUGUAGGAUCUAGUAGUUUUUUCCCCCUUGUGAAUUUAACUAUCCUUAUGGUGCAUAAUGUAGCUGGUGAUAAAAUUUCUAAUGGAAAUUUGCCCGUUUCUGCAUUCUUUGC